rnacentral:tRNA from 1 species
UUAAUUGAAGCCAAAAAGAGGCUUAUCACUGUUAAUGAUAUCAUUGAAUUUUAUAUUCCUAUUAAG